rnacentral:rRNA from 1 species
CAGCCGCCGCGGUAAUACGUAGGUGGCAAGCGUUGUCCGGAAUUAUUGGGCGUAAAGCGCGCGCAGGUGGUUUAAUAAGUCUGAUGUGAAAGCCCACGGCUCAACCGUGGAGGGUCAUUGGAAACUGUUAAACUUGAGUGCAGGAGAGAAAAGUGGAAUUCCUAGUGUAGCGGUGAAAUGCGUAGAGAUUAGGAGGAACACCAGUGGCGAAGGCGACUCUCUGGUCUGUAACUGACGCUGAGGAGCGAAAGCGUGGGGAGCAAACAGGAUUAGAGACCCCCGUAGUCCCUGUCUCUUAUAC